rnacentral:rRNA from 1 species
ACGGGAGGCAGCAGUGGGGAAUAUUGGGCAAUGGGCGAAAGCCUGACCCAGCAACGCCGCGUGAAGGAAGAAGAUCUUCGGAUUGUAAACUUCUUUUAUGAGGGACGAAGGAAGUGACGGUACCUCAUGAAUAAGCCACGGCUAACUACGUGCCAGCAGCCGCGGUAAUACGGAGGAUCCGAGCGUUAUCCGGAUUUAUUGGGUUUAAAGGGUGCGCAGGCGGGCUGCUAAGUCUCCGGUGAAAUGUCAGGGCUCAACCUUGGCACUGCCGGAGAUACUGGCGGCCUUGAGAGUGGCGGAGGUAUCCGGAAUGUGUGGUGUAGCGGUGAAAUGCAUAGAUAUCACACAGAACACCGAUUGCGAAGGCAGGAUACCAUACCAUAUCUGACGCUCAGGCACGAAAGCGUGGGGAUCGAACAGGAUUAGAUACCCUGGUA